rnacentral:rRNA from 1 species
GACAGAGGUGCCAAGCGUUAGGCGGAAUCACUGGGCUUAAAGCGCGUGUAGGCGGGACGGCACGUCGAUCGUUGAAAGCCCCCGGCUCAACCGGGGAAUGGGCGCCGAUACGACCGUCCUGGAGGAACGUAGGGGGACCUGGAACUUCCGGUGGAGCGGUGAAAUGCGUUGAGAUCGGAAGGAACGCCCGUGGCGAAAGCGAGGUCCUGGACGUUUUCUGACGCUGAGACGCGAAAGCCAGGGGAGCGAACGGG